UAACACGUAAACAACCUGCCUUCAGGAUGGGGACAACAGACGGAAACGACUGCUAAUACCGAAUAAGUUCCAAGAGCCGCAUGGCCCAUGGAAGAAAAGGUGGCCUCUACCUGUAAGCUAUCGCCUGAAGAGGGGUUUGCGUCUGAUUAGCUGGUUGGAGGGGUAACGGCCCACCAAGGCGACGAUCAGUAGCCGGUCUGAGAGGAUGAACGGCCACACUGGAACUGAGACACGGUCCAGACUCCUACGGGAGGCAGCAGUGGGGAAUCUUCCGCAAUGGGCGAAAGCCUGACGGAGCAACGCCGCGUGAGUGAUGACGGCCUUCGGGUUGUAAAACUCUGUGAUCCGGGACGAAAAGGCAGAGUGCGAAGAACAAACUGCAUUGACGGUACCGGAAAAGCAAGCCACGGCUAACUACGUGCCAGCAGCCGCGGUAAUACGUAGGUGGCAAGCGUUGUCCGGAAUUAUUGGGCGUAAAGCGCGCGCAGGCGGCUUCCCAAGUCCCUCUUAAAAGUGCGGGGCUUAACCCCGUGAUGGGAAGGAAACUGGGAAGCUGGAGUAUCGGAGAGGAAAGUGGAAUUCCUAGUGUAGCGGUGAAAUGCGUAGAGAUUAGGAAGAACACCGGUGGCGAAGGCGACUUUCUGGACGAAAACUGACGCUGAGGCGCGAAAGCGUGGGGAGCAAACAGGAUUAGAUACCCUGGUAGUCCACGCCGUAAACGAUGGA
rnacentral:rRNA from 1 species